rnacentral:rRNA from 1 species
GACGAACGCUGGCGGCGUGCUUAACACAUGCAAGUCGAACGGAAAGGCCCUGCUUUUGUGGGGUGCUCGAGUGGCGAACGGGUGAGUAACACGUGAGUAACCUGCCCUUGACUUUGGGAUAACUUCAGGAAACUGGGGCUAAUACCGGAUAGGAGCUCCUGCUGCAUGGUGGGGGUUGGAAAGUUUCGGUGGUUGGGGAUGGACUUGCGGCUUACCAGCUUGUUGGUGGGGUAGUGGCUUACCAAGGCUUUGACGGGUAGCCGGCCUGAGAGGGUGACCGGCCACAUUGGGACAGCGCUACGACCCAAACUCCUACGGGAGGCAGCAGUGGGGAAUAUUGCACAAUGGGCGGAAGCCUGAUGCCGCAACGCCGCGUGCGGGAUAAGGGCCUUCGGGUUUUGAACCGCUUUCGCCUGUGACAAAGCAUGAGUGACGAUAAUGGGUCAAGGAGCACCGGCUAACUACGUG